rnacentral:lncRNA from 1 species
GCGACUCUCUGAUCAGGUAUACUCCCAUCUCUUAUAGUAACAUUUUUAACCACGUUACUUCACAUGUGGUGUAUGCUAAUGCACGAUACUCAGCCUUUGUUGAUGAUCUUGAUAUUGUUUGUUGCUUUUUUGAUUUCCAUGAUACUAAGGACGAUCCUAAGAAUAUGGCAAAUCCAGAUGUUGAUCGUCUGGUAGUGGGACAGCUUGCUCAAUCGGAGUCUGUGAAUGCUCCAAUAUGGUCUAUUGAGGAGCCUGAUGAGAAAUGCAAUCCUAAUUCAGGUGAUCCUUUAAUGUAUUUUAGGACUCUGUAUGCUGCUUUCAUUUGUGAUUCAGUUGGUGCUGCCAUGUGUUAGCUUAGAUAUGUUACAGCAUAAGAAAUGUCUGGUCUUGUGCAUGUUAGGUAUACUAGUUUAUCUACUAUGCUUCUAUACUUCUGUGAGUCUUCCAGUAGAGUUUCAUUGCCUUUUGUUUUGUUUGAUUGCAUUGGAGUUUUUUUUAAAAUGUCAUUGUUAUUAGGGGGUUAUACUUCUAAUAACAUAGCUAGGAGGAAUCUGGGAGAACUUCUUCUGAUAAGUACUAUAUAAGAAGGUAAACUUGGAUAGAACUCUUACUAGCUUUGGGAGAGAAUGGGGUGGUUUCAGUGGCAAAGUUGGCAGGAGGGAGUCGUUAAUUAGUGUAGAUGAUCGUAAUCAUAAACAAAGGGGGGAGGAGGAAGAAGAAGAUGAUUGUUCGGAUGAUUCUGGCAUCCAAUCAGGAUUCUUUUGAGUGGCAGCAUCGAUUUUAUUGUAUGUAAGAUUUGCUCACCAUUAAUUAUCAAAACUCCAUUACAGAAAUAGAAACCACAACUCCAUCCAAAAUCGAACAGCAACGUGAUCCGAAUGAGUAAAACCAACUGAAUUGUAACGAGUAUGGGUAAAACCAAUAGAAUUAACUAAUUUGUAGGCAACGUGAUCCAAAGUAGGAAAAUAUUUGCCCCCUAACACACCUUAACUAUCUAACACGUAGACUUGAUGGUUAGUUUUGACACUCACCCUCUUAUUUUUAUAAUUAAAUCAAAUUUACGGAUAUGCCAUAAACAAAUUUCAUCGAUAUUUUAAAACAGAAGCAAUAUCUAUCGUAGAGAAGACCGAACUUGAGUGUUACUAUGAUGAUGGUUACGUUCCAAAACAAGAAGGUUUUGAUAUAUAUUCUGAAUUGGUGAAAUAUACAUCAACCAAAAUAUCUCAUUUUGUCUAAAAUUGCAAAAGAUUUUCUUACCAUACCGGUCUCGACAGUUGCAUCAUAGUUCACUUUUAGCACUGGUGGUCGAGCGUUCACAAGUAUCGAAUUUUACCGAAUCCUGAAACAGUAGAAACUUUGGUGUGUACUCAAGAUUGAUUGUGAAGCGAACGUUUGGGUAAUUUAAUUUUAUUACCAAUAACUUUACAACUUGUAUUAUUGAAUACUUUUUUAAUUUAAUUGCAUUGCAGAUAAAAAUUUAUCAACAAUUUUAAUGGAAGUGGUAGAACUUAAAUCAAUAAGAAGAUAAAAUAAUUAAUGGCGAUUGUUGCGAGGAAAAAGAAAAAGAAGACUUAAAAGAGAAUAAUAUUAUAGAUUUAGACUAAUGAACUCUUAUUUAAUUAAAUAUUUAACUUUAUUGGUGGUUUUUAAUUUGUUAUUGAAUUUUCAAAUUGUUUUAAAUAUUAUUGACCAAACAUGUUAUUUUUAUUUUUUGUUUAUUGAUUUUACUAAAAUUCAUUAACUAUUUUUGUAUAUUUAAUUAUUUAUUGUUUUUUUAUCUAAAAAAUUUUCAUUUUUUGAAACCAGAUCCGGAUAUUUUUAUGAGUAUGGGUCGGGUCUGGGUCCAGAAAAUUUCUUUUUGAGCCCUGACCCGGCCAACU